UAGGGAAUAUUGCACAAUGGGCGAAAGCCUGAUGCAGCGACGCCGCGUGAGCGAAGAAGUUCUUCGGAACGUAAAGCUCUGUCCUUGGGGACGAAAAAAAUGACGGUACCCAAGGAGGAAGCCCCGGCUAACUACGUGCCAGCAGCCGCGGUAAUACGUAGGGGGCGAGCGUUGACCGGAUUUACUGGGCGUAAAGGGUGAGUAGGCUGUUUGUCAAGUCAGAGGUGAAAUCCCACGGCCCAACCGUGGAACUGCCUUUGAAACUGGCAGACUUGAGUGUCGGAGAGGGUGGCGGAAUUCCAGGUGUAGGAGUGAAAUCCGUAGAUAUCUGGAGGAACACCGGUGGCGAAGGCGGCCACCUGGACGAUAACUGACGCUGAGGUGCGAAAGCGUGGGUAGCAAACA
rnacentral:rRNA from 1 species